rnacentral:rRNA from 1 species
ACUCCUACGGGAGGCAGCAGUGGGGAAUCUUGGACAAUGGGGGCGAACCCUGAUCCAGCCAUGCCGCGUGAGUGAUGAAGGCCCUAGGGUCGUAAAGCUCUUUCGCCAGGGAUGAUAAUGACAGUACCUGGUAAAGAAACCCCGGCUAACUCCGUGCCAGCAGCCGCGGUAAUACGGAGGGGGUUAGCGUUGUUCGGAAUUACUGGGGCGUAAAGCGCGCGUAGGCGGACCAGAAAGUUGGGGGUGAAAUCCCGGGGGCUCAACCCCGGAACUGCCUCCAAAACUCCUGGUCUUGAGUUCGAGAGAGGUGAGUGGAAUUCCGAGUGUAGAGGUGAAAUUCGUAGAUAUUCGGAGGAACACCAGUGGCGAAGGCGGCUCACUGGCUCGAUACUGACGCUGAGGUGCGAAAGUGUGGGGAGCAAACAGGAUUAGAUACCCUGGUAGGAUAGCG